rnacentral:misc_RNA from 1 species
GAUGAAGAACGCAGUGAAAUGCGAUAAGUAAUGCGAAUUGCAGAAUUUCCGUGAGUCAUCGAAUCUUUGAACGCACAUUGCGCCCGCCAGUAUUCUGGCGGGCAUGCCUGUUCGAGCGUCAUUUCAACCCUCAAGACCCCUUCGGGGGACUUGGUGUUGGGGACCGGCACAGGGGCCUGCCUGCUUGUCUUGCAGCGCCCUCGCCGCCCCCGAAAUGAAUUGGCGGCCUCGUCGCGGCCUCCCCUGCGUAGUAGCACAAACCUCGCAACGGGAACGUGACGGCGGCCACUGCCGUAAAACAACCCAAUUUUAUUAGAGUUGACCUCGAAUCAGGUAGGAAUACCCGCAGAACUUAAGCAUAUCAAUAAGCGGAGGA